UACGUAGGGUGCAAGCGUUGUCCGGAAUUAUUGGGCGUAAAGAGCUCGUAGGCGGUUUGUCGCGUCUGCUGUGAAAUCCCUCGGCUCAACUGAGGAAUUGCACGGGAAACUGCUUGGCUUGAGAUCGGGAGAGGGAAGCGGAAUUCCGGGUGUAGCGGUGAAAUGCGUAGAUAUCCGGAGGAACACCGGUGGCGAAGGCGACGUCCUGGACCGGCAUUGACGCUGAGGCGCGAAAGCCAGGGGAGCAAAGCGGG
rnacentral:rRNA from 1 species